rnacentral:tRNA from 1 species
GGCCCUUAAAGGGUAAGUAAUGGCCCUUUAUCUUCAUGAUUCAUAAUGCAACUCAUUGAUUUCCGUUUGUUCCUGUAGGAACUCAUAAUCGCUUGGUCGCUGGUUCAAGUCCAGCAGGGGCCACCA